UUACUUAGCCUAGCUUCCCAACAUUUCCUCUCUCUCCCUCUCUCUCUCUCUCUCUCUCUCUCUCAAAACCCCUAAAAUUCCUAAACUCCUAAAAAACUCAUCGCUCAAUAUCAAGCAUUGUGUGGCUAAACAAUACUCUUGUCAAUCACUGGGCAUUAUUCGGCUACAUCAAGAGUUAUGGCACCAAGUAAGCAAUGGAUGCAGCUUAUUGACAAUCGACUCGAUGAAGCCUAUUUAAUUGGGGUGCAGAAGUUUUUAGAUUAUGCUUUUAGAAGAACAGGAGAAUUGUAUGAAAUACGAUGUCUAUGUGUCAAAUGUUGUAACACAACAUUAGGAACACACGAGACAGUCGAGUCACAUUUGAAAGUAUAUGGAAUAAUAAAAAAUUAUACUUUUUGGUAUCACCAUGGAGAAAUUUUAGGUGAGCCACAGUCGGAACUUGAAGAUGAUGAUGAAGCAGAAGAAUACGAGAGAGGAUGAAAUAGAAGAAAUUUUGAGAGAUCUAUAUCCUAAUCAUGAUAUAAGCCCUGCAGACGUUGGUUGUGAUGAUUUACUUUAAGAGGAACCGAAUGUUGAACCGAAUGUUGAAGCCAAAAGAUUUUACAGUCUAUUGAGGGAUUUUGAGAAGCCACUGUACCAAAGCUCAAAAUUUUCAAAACUUUCCACUUUGAUUAAAUUGCUUCACAUAAAAAGUAUGGGUCGCUGGAACAAUGAGUCAUUUACAAUGCUAUUAAAAAUGUUAAAGGAUGAGUUGUUGCCCGAUGGAGCGGAUUUGCCAAAUUCAUAUUAUGAGGCAAAGAAGGAAAUUUGGAAUCUUGGGCUUUCCUACUUCAAGAUUAAUGCUUGUAUAAAUGAUUGCAUGUUAUACUGGAAGGAGGAUAAUUUACUUGAUUCUUGUAAAGUUUGUGGUGCAUCUAGAUGGAAAAUAAAUUAACAUAGCGGGGAAGCAAAGAAUAAAAAAGGCAAAAAAAUAGCAGCAAAGACUUUGCGCUAUUUUCCAUUAAAGCCUAGACUUCAAAGGUUGUUUAUGUCUACAAAAACAUCUUCUCUAAUGACAUGGCAUCAUGAUAAAAGAGUUGAUGAUGGAAUAAUGAGGCACCCAGCUGAUUCAAUGGCUUGGAAAUCAUUUGAUAAACUUCAUCCCUCAUUUGCGGCCAAGCCUUGUAAUGUUCGACUUGGACUUGCUAGUGAUGAAUUUCAGCCAUUUCGCAAUACAAAAACCUCAUAUAGCAUUUGGCCGGUGGUACUUAUUCCUUAUAAUUUACCACCUUGGUUGUGUAUGAAACAAGAAAAUUUUAUUAUGUCAAUGCUUAUUCCUGGUCCAGAUAGUCCAGGAGAUGCAAUUGACAUAUAUCUUCAACCUUUGAUAGAGGAACUAAAUGAGUUAUGGGAAAUUAGUGUUGACA